AUAAAGGUUUCGGGAAUGUGGCUCCUCCGGGAGUGUUAUAGCCCGUUGCGUAAUACCCUGCGGUGGACUGAGGUCCGCGCUUCUGCAAGGAUGCUGGCGUAAUGGUCAUCAACGA
rnacentral:rRNA from 1 species